AAAUAAAUUAAAACUUUCAACAACGGAUCUCUUGGUUCUGGCAUCGAUGAAGAACGCAGCGAAAUGCGAUAAGUAAUGUGAAUUGCAGAAUUCAGUGAAUCAUCGAAUCUUUGAACGCACAUUGCGCCCUCUGGUAUUCCAGAGGGCAUGCCUGUUCGAGCGUCAUUUCAACCCUCAAGCC
rnacentral:rRNA from 1 species